rnacentral:rRNA from 1 species
GACGAACGCUGGCGGCGUGCUUAACACAUGCAAGUCGAACGGAAAGGCCCUGCUUUUGUGGGGUGCUCGAGUGGCGAACGGGUGAGUAACACGUGAGUAACCUGCCCUUGACUUUGGGAUAACUUCAGGAAACUGGGGCUAAUACCGGAUAGGAGCUCCUGCUGCAUGGUGGGGGUUGGAAAGUUUCGGCGGUUGGGGAUGGACUCGCGGCUUAUCAGCUUGUUGGUGGGGUAGUGGCUUACCAAGGCUUUGACGGGUAGCCGGCCUGAGAGGGUGACCGGCCACAUUGGGACUGAGAUACGGCCCAGACUCCUACGGGAGGCAGCAGUGGGGAAUAUUGCACAAUGGGCGGAAGCCUGAUGCAGCAACGCCGCGUGCGGGAUGACGGCCUUCGGGUUGUAAACCGCUUUCGCCUGUGACGAAGCGUGAGUGACGGUAAUGGGUAAAGAAGCACCGGCUAACUACGUGCCAGCAGCCGCGGUGAUACGUAGGGUGCGAGCGUUGUCCGGAUUUAUUGGGCGUAAAGGGCUCGUAGGUGGUUGAUCGCGUCGGAAGUGUAAUCUUGGGGCUUAACCCUGAGCGUGCUUUCGAUACGGGUUGACUUGAGGAAGGUAGGGGAGAAUGGAAUUCCUGGUGGAGCGGUGGAAUGCGCAGAUAUCAGGAGGAACACCAGUGGCGAAGGCGGUUCUCUGGGCCUUUCCUGACGCUGAGGAGCGAAAGCGUGGGGAGCGAACAGGCUUAGAUACCCUGGUAGUCCACGCUGUAAACGGUGGGUACUAGGUGUGGGGUCCAUUCCACGGGUUCCGUGCCGUAGCUAACGCUUUAAGUACCCCGCCUGGGGAGUACGGCCGCAAGGCUAAAACUCAAAGGAAUUGACGGGGCCCCGCACAAGCGGCGGAGCAUGCGGAUUAAUUCGAUGCAACGCGUAGAACCUUACCUGGGUUUGACAUGGAUCGGGAGUGCUCAGAGAUGGGUGUGCCUCUUUUGGGGUCGGUUCGCAGGUGGUGCAUGGCUGUCGUCAGCUCGUGUCGUGAGAUGUUGGGUUAAGUCCCGCAACGAGCGCAACCCUUGUUCACUGUUGCCAGCACGUUAUGGUGGGGACUCAGUGGAGACCGCCGGGGUCAACUCGGAGGAAGGUGGGGAUGACGUCAAGUCAUCAUGCCCCUUAUGUCCAGGGCUUCACGCAUGCUACAAUGGCUGGUACAGAGAGUGGCGAGCCUGUGAGGGUGAGCGAAUCUCGAAAAGCCGGUCUCAGUUCGGAUUGGGGUCUGCAACUCGACCUCAUGAAGUCGGAGUCGCUAGUAAUCGCAGAUCAGCAACGCUGCGGUGAAUACGUUCCCGGG